rnacentral:tRNA from 1 species
AGAGAUAUGUCUGAGCGGUUUAAAGAAUAUGCUUGGAAAGCAUAGAAAGCUUUUGCUUUCAUGGGUUCGAAUCCCAUUAUCUCUU